rnacentral:tRNA from 1 species
AAUAGCUCAGUCGGUAGACCAUCAGACUUUUAAUCUGAGGGUUCCCAGGGUUCAAGCCCCUGUUCAGGCGGA